rnacentral:rRNA from 1 species
UACGAAGGGGGCUAGCGUUGCUCGGAAUCACUGGGCGUAAAGGGCGCGUAGGCGGCGUGUUAAGUCACUUGUGAAAUCUCUAAGCUUAACUUAGAACGGUCAAGUGAUACUGAUGUGCUAGAGUGCAGAAGGGGCAACCGGAAUUCUUGGUGUAGCGGUGAAAUGCGUAGAUAUCAAGAGGAACACCUGAGGUGAAGACGGGUUGCUGGGCUGACACUGACGCUGAGGCGCGAAAGCUAGGGUAGCAAACGGG